rnacentral:rRNA from 1 species
UACGGGGGGAGCAAGCGUUGUUCGGAUUUACUGGGCGUAAAGGGCGCGUAGGCGGUCGUGACAAGUCACUUGUGAAAUCUCCGGGCUUAACUCGGAACGGUCAAGUGAUACUGUCGUGCUAGAGUACAGAAGGGGCAACUGGAAUUCUCGGUGUAGCGGUGAAAUGCGUAGAUAUCGAGAGGAACACCUGCGGCGAAGGCGGGUUGCUGGGCUGAUACUGACGCUGAGGCGCGAAAGCUAGGGGGAGCGAACGGG